UUGGAAGAAUCUCCCCGAAAACUGGUAAAUCGAUUGUUUCGGGAAAGAGAUGUGGAGACAGGGUAACCAGCCUGCUGUUGGUUGACUCCACAGAUGCAAAGCCCACAGACUCAGAAAGCAGCCCCCGCUGGUAAAUCCCGUGCUCCCCGGGUCUGAUGAACCAGGCCCCACGCUGCACACUGCACCCCAGCAAGGGAACUUGAUCUUCACAUCUCCCCAGGGAGCCUUGGCCCCAUUUGACAGGGAGAACACGGCCUCCACUUCCGAAGAUCGGCCCGCCUGCGAGGCAGCCUGCCCGUCCCAUUCUCCUGCUCCUGCUCCUGCUCGGCCAGCCCUGCUCAGGGUCCCUACCCUGGCACAGGACCCCGCUCCCUGGGCAGUGACGGCAACUGAGAUGCGGCCAAUCAGAAGAGGCGUGUUGGUUCUUCUCCAGCUUCCUUCUCUUCUUCCAAGUAAGGUGGGAGGGCUCCUGGUACGGCUUGAUUCAGACCAGAGAGAGGAACGGAUCUCCUCUUGGCCAGCCCCAAAGAAAGCUCGUUGGGGGUGAGGCCCUGGCCCGCAGUGCAGCAGGAGUCUGCUGAGAACUCAGGUGGUGAGAACUCAGGUCCCCACCAGACCGGCUUCCGUUCCUCGACUUUGGGGCAGACACAGAAAUGAAGCCUAGGAUAGGGAGGAAGACAGCACAUGGGAAGGUCAUACUUGGGCUGGGACAGAAGCCCGCAGCUGCAGCCCAUCCCCGCAGGCCCCAGGAGCUGAGAGGCCACCCUGCCACCUCUCCCCACACACAGGGGCCCUCGGCCAGGCGUGGGAACAUCUCAGAGGAGGGGCUGGCCGCAGGAAGGGCCGGGCCUGACCGCCAGGCCGGAAUGCGGAGGAUGGAGGACGGGGCUCUGACUCACCCAGGCCUCUCACAUGGAGAAGGGCUUGGCUGGGGCUGGGCAUGUGGCAGGGAGGGAGCUGGCAGGGGCACGACAGGAAAGGAGGCCUCGAAGAGAGGGGACAGGUCACCCAGGGCAAGGGCCAGUUCGAAACAGCAACCCGCCCCUGGAUUUGGGGUCUCUUCUUUCUUGUAGCGCAUCCUUCCGACUCAAGCAACCAGGCAGGAAGCCUCUGAGAGCCAUGAAUGCCAGGUGAGGGCAGCACCCUGAACAGCACCAGCUCCAGGUUCGCGGCUGCCUGGGCGUUCAGAGCGGGCUUGGGCGAGGCCCUCGUGGGCCAUCCUGCCUUAUUCUCACCAAGCUGAGCGCAAACCAUAUUGGGGACGUUUUCUGGGCAGCACAAGAGCUCUCAUAGCACAAAGGCACCAGGGGGCAGCCAUUUCCUGAUUUGCAUGUGGGUAGAUGGGCCUCUGAGGAAGAAGUUCCAUGGGAGGCAAGAACCAGGUAGAAGUGAGGGGUCCAAUUAUGACUCUUUGUACUGCUAGGAUUUUGGUUACAAGUGAAGGAAGAAAACCCAUCUUUUUUUGUUUGUUUAAUGCAACAAUGAAAUUUCUUGGCCUUAGACCUUAAGUCUAAGGGGUUGACUAGUUCCAGACGGGGCUUGAUCAGGAGUUCUAAAACAAUGUCACAAGAUCUGGUGCUCCCUGUUGUCUUUUGGUUCACCUCUUCUCCAAGUAAGCAGCUCUGUCCCAGGCUGGUUCUACCCCAUGGUGUCAAGAUGGCUGCAGAAGCCCCAGGCCUCACUCUCUUUCCUGAGAGCAAAGGACCAGUACAUUUCUCUAAUAGCUCAAAGUUCUGUAACUGAGUUUCAUUGGCUCUGAUUGGCCUGAAUUUGGCCAGGUACCCUAAUCAAUGAUUGUGGCAGGGGAAGGGAGUGUACUGACUGACAGUGUGGGACAGAGACGUGAAUAGGAGCUUGCUCUCAGCAGUGAUGGGGCAGCCCAUUACUGCACGUGAGUGAAUGGGGACAGGGUGACGAGAAACACUGGCCCUUUAUUCCUUUCAGAGGAAGGACUUCCUGGAAAAGCUGAAGGGGCUUCUGUGGGGUCCAGGUUGCAAGGUGGGAUACAAGUUAGAGAGAGGAAACUUCUGCUUGUUUCCUCUCAGAGCACAAACCCUUUUGGCUGUGGUCACACCGGCCAGCAUGAGGUGUCACGCACACCCUGAGCACAAAGCAGGGAGAGAGGCAGGGUCCUCACCUCAGCUGGGCACAGGCAUCGGCGGGAGGCAGAGGGAAGGGACCCCAGCAGGCUGGGCAUCGGCGCUCUCGGGUACAAGGGAUGUCCGGAGGUGACUCAGGCGGACAGUGCAGGGUGAGGCAGUGGAGGUCUCCUCUCCCAAAGGAGCAGCAUCUGGGACCACUGGGGACAUUUGCUGCCUGUGACGGGAGGAGCUCCUGCCUGAGGGCCAAAAGUGCUGAUUCCCCUUCCUGGUAAAUGGGAGACACCUCCGGCCGCCCGCAGAGAAAGCCCGGGGAAAGGCUGCCCAGCUGCCCUGGAGCCAAGCCUGUUCCUGCUACUUGUCCUGGUCUGGGAGGCCCCAGCCCAGACACCAGUGCUAGCCCAGGUGCCCCAGAGGCACGCACAGCUUAGAAAAAGCCCACAGAGCAGCAGGCCCGGAUGUGCCCUGUGGAGCUGGCGUCCUGGAGGCCCUGAGGCAGCAGUCAGCCAGGGACGUGGAUGGCUCUCAGGACUGGGUCUGAGGAUGACGCUUCCCAGGCUGGCCUUGGCCUUUCCGGUUCUACUGGUUACAGACCAAGGGCAGCUGGAGGGCCAAAGGCAGAAGAAGCACACCAAAAUCGCAAGCCUGCCCACGCCCUCCAUGAACAGCUUCCUCCUACAGGCUCAUGGCACGGAUUCAAAUCGGAGGACAGGAAGGAGGGUCCACACCGCGUGCCUCCCUGCUUCCAGCACCCUUGCUCCUUUUCGGGCUCACUGCCCUUCGGACAAGGAUAGCUGUUUCCAGAAUGAGAGCUGGUCACCAGGACCCGUGCCUCCUCCAGUGGAAGCCACGCCUGGCCUCUGUCCUGUGCAUCUGUGGGUCCCGGCUGGAAAUACUCCUUUCCAUGGCUGCCCCAGUCAGCAGCUCCAGCUUCCUCUCAGGAGAAAGCCCACCACCUCACUGGGGGUCUGCCUGGGUCUCAGUCCCUUCCUGAGGGAGCGGUCAGGGUGGGGGGAGAGCGAGGCUUUGAAGUGAGAUGGAUGAGUGUUCAUCGCAGCAGCGCCUGUGCGGGCUGGCAGCAGAACUCGAACAGGUUACUUCCCUUCUCCCGAUGCCAGUGCGCUUAUCUGCAAACAGAGUGGCGAGACCCCCAGGCUUGCUGGAGGAGCGGAUAUAAGAGAACAAAGCUCCUGAGCCGCUUCGGGAGACAUCUCUCUGGUCACUCACUUUGUUCCAGGCUCUCCACACCAAAUCCAGAUGACUUCCUAUUCCACUUCCACCUCCAGGCCAAACACCGGCUUGUUGGUCCGGUGAUCACACACAGCCAGCCAGGCUCUGUCUGAUACUGACUGUGUUUCCUCAGCUCCACAGCCCUGGGAGGUGACACCACUGAGCUCGUUUGACUCAAGAGGCCCCUGGAACUCAGAGAGAGCCGAGAGUCCACAGGCUGUGGGGUGCAAAGCCAGCAGUCGAUGCCUGGUCUCCUCAGACUGCUUCUCUGCUGGAAUGUUCCCCUUUUCUCCUCCUGGAUUCCAUCAGUUAUUUAGGGUCUCUUUCCUUCCAUCUCUUUCAGAACACCUUCUGAAUCAGUGAGGAUACUUGGUUGCAGAUGACAGAUACCUCUAUCCCAGGUAGGCAUUGUGGUGCCUGCCUUUAAUCUCUGCACUUGGAAGGCUGAGGCAGGAAGAUCAUGGGUGUGAGGUCCGCCUGGGCUGCAUAGCAAACCCUGUCUCCAAAUAAACAAAAAGCUUCUACCCUAAACAGGCUUAAGAAAACAAUGGAACUUUUUGGCUCAAUUAAUCACCAAACCAAGGGCUCUUGUUCUAGGUAAGGUUGGAUACAAAGCUCAAAAACUGUCAUCAGUGGUUUUCUUCUUUCUAAACAGUGGUUCUGCCUUCCUCUACGAACACUAAAGUUUUAGGCUCCACAUGGCACCAGAAGGGCAUAGUGGCUCCAGGCCCAGUGCCCCCGGAACUGGACCCUGUGGAUUAGUGAUCAUGAGGAUGGAGUCACAGCCUGGCCUUAGCAACUUUACAACAAGACAAAGAGACUGGAGCAGGCAAUCUUGCCCUGUCUCAUCAGUUGAUGCCAUCUGCCACGUCACCACGCAGCAAGAAGCCCUCGCUGAGGGAUGCUAAGCAGGCACUGAUGCCAUGUUCUUAGAUUUCCUGGCUCCCAGGACCGUGAGCCAGAUAAACUUCUGUUCUUUAUAAUUUAGCCUGUCUCAGGUUGUUUCAGAUAGCAACCAAAAACAGACUAAGACAGGAGUCAUCUGGUCCAACCCCAAAAUUCUGAGGAGGAAGUUAAGGCUCAGAGAAUGAAAUGACGUGUCCAAGGGCCCAUGAGCUAUUGCUGCCACCCACCCUGGAAAGGUCUUAUGGUGCUGAAGGUGGUGAGGAAUGGACACAGCACUCUGAAAUUAUCCGUGUGGCAGGGUCUUCCUCAGUUUCCCUGAAGAGAACACCCAGAGGUGACUUCCAGCUUGAACGUGGUUGCCAUUAACCAAACUCUGAAAACCAAGGUCUCAACUGGAAUUUUCUUCCUUUUAUGGCAAAGGUGAUGGAAAUAUCCAAUGCAUCAAUUUCUUCACUUCCUGGAGGCUGUUCAGCACACCUGAGGCACGUAGUCCAGGAGGCCUCGUGCCACAUACUUGAAUUCCUUCCCUGGACCCCCUGCAGACCAAUCUCUCCCCCAUCCUCUUUGACCUGCUAUUUCUCAAGAUGUAACCGAUAUAACCUGCUGGCCCGCAUGUUCUUAGCUACGAUAGCUCAACCAUUGCUCCGCUCAGAGCUUGUGCCCAGGUGGCCUCAUUUAGAGUCUGAGCAUUCCCAAAUCAUUUCAAUCACACAUUCCUGACAGUCCUUUGGACCGGGCUGCUUCAGAGGAUUCAUACAUUCAUUCAGCUCCGUAUGCCCGGUUCAUUGAUUAUGUGUCAGGCUCCAGGCACACGGUGGUAAACAAGACUUUUUGGUGAUUGUCACCAGGGAAGCAAUGACAGCAAACAUUCAGCUUAUACAGAAGACUUCAGCUGAGGGGAGGACAGAAAAGCGGGCCAUUCUGGACACUUGGUACUAGUGAGGGCACUGUCGCAGUAAUCCAAGCAGGAGGUCAUGGUGACCAGAAUAGCAUGCUAGCCACAGGGUUGGAAAGAAGUGAACAGAUUUGAGACGGUAAAGUCAAGUGGCUUUGUUGGUGGCUUGAGGCAGCAUGGGGUACUGUUGAAGAGCCUGACUCUACCAAUAAGUACAUCGUCCUUCUGGGCCUCAGUUUCCUUGUCUGUGAAACAAUGAUACCUCAAACUGUAUCUGAUUAUAAAUUCAGGAUGGCUUAUAUGUAGAUGUUCUCCCAAACCUCAUGCACUCAUAGGUGGGGCUUUUUAGAGAUGGCUGCAUCUAAAGCAUGUGAUACUGGGACUAAGGGUGUAUAGUACUAAAUUAGUCCACUGAUUGAAAUUAGCAUAGGUCUGAGUCGCACCACCCAAAAGACUGAUAGCCUGGAUGGGAUAAAAGGAAAAGGCUGGCUUGCUGCUGCUGCUCUGCUGCCUCCUGCUUG